GAUGAGGGAACGUAGGAACACUGGGGACUCUCCCCCAACUUACCAGGCCCCAGAAGUUAUUUCCCAGGCAGCGUUUUGACCAAGAUUGACAGAAAAAACUCACUAAGGGAGCCCCAAGGAAAGAACUUCGGUGAGCAAGACUUGAGGAAGAGGGCGUUAGGCCGCUGUUGUCCAGGACACGUCAGUUACAUGUGAAUCCCUUCUGGCAAUUCAGCAAUAGCCAUUGUAACUUUCAGNNNNNNNNNNNNNNNNNNNNNNNNNNNNNNNNCAGGUAGCUUUUUGGACGUCUGGGAUUUGAAAAAGUACUUCACCUUGAUUAGAAGUGUGUUCUUGUAUUCUCUAUUAACCAAGCACCAGAUAAUUAUAAGGGACAUCUUCUAGGGGUGAAUGAGCUUUGUAGGGGUGGCUGAUUCAUUUGGGGAUCCCUGCCGAGACAGUCAUUAAGAGACGCGAGCCAGCGAGGAACUGCUCUGUUUGGCGUGGAAUCAAGUCCACUUUAUUUCUCUUGGACCAAAAAAAACUAGAACCACUCGCACGCAUGCAUGCGCUUGCACGUGCGCACAUGCAAACAACAACAAUGAAGAGAGGAGUCUGCCUGCCAAACCGUCUAGGCUUUAAUCAAAUGCUUCUUGGAAAACUCCAUGCUCUACAAGCCAUCUCUGCCACCCUCUGACCCUCUUGACCCAUCCUGGUUCCACGGUGGACAGCAGACCACAUGGAAAUUUUCCACUUGGAAAUUCACACGUUGUUUCCUCUUGGUUUAUCGGUAGGCAGAAGGAUGUUGCCUGAGCUGCCCGGCUGCUGCUCCUUACGCAUGGAUCGUGACGAUCUGGAGAGGAGAAGCUGCCAGUCUAGAAAACUCUGCUCUUGCCUGCUAAACCAAGGAACACAUAGUGCUGACAGCUUUGAAUCGCCUUGCAGGCAUGAAAGUAGAAGUUAAGUCAGGCCUGACACUAAAAGCUGCUUUUUCCAGCAGGGAAAGCCCCUCUUGUAUAAUUACUGAAGCCAGAAGUUGUUUAAAUAGGAAAAACUUGUUUGGGUUGUUUCUUGAUUUUUGUCGGUUUGUUGCUGAGAUGGCUUUAUAUUUCUUUGGGAAACAUUUCAGUCCCCUCUUGAUAGCUGAAUUUGAAUACAUUUUUUUCAAAGCGAUGAGUUAAUGCCCCAUGUUGUUUAUAAUUAUAAGAAUCAAUGGCUGCCCUAGGCCCCCAUAAUGCCAGGGGUCCCUUUAUUGAGGAAAAGAAAACAGAAAAUCAAGCCACUUUGCCUGGAGGGCUACCACAGGCUACUGGUUUGAGAGAGGUUUUCACUCUCUAAUGAGUGUAAUAUUAAAAUUAGGUGAGUUCAGGAGGUUUUAUUUUUGAAGUAUUUGAACUAUGUAUAUGGGCAUCUGCAAAUGCCAAUCAUAUGACUUUCGAGGCCACAAUGCAUUGUUUGUGCUCACACAUAUGCUGACAGCAUUUGUUUUAUGCACCUGCUUCUUCUCCAGUCCCAGUUUCCUUCGAUCUUUUGAUUUUGUUUUAAUGUGCAGGCGUUUGCUGAAGUGUAACCACUCAGAGAGCAUCUGGGCUCGCAUGGGUUUUAAAACUGAAUCCACAUUUUAAUGGUUUCUCACCUCUCCAUCUGGAUUAGAAAAAAAAAAAAAAAAAGAAUCCAUCAUAGUAACCAAUAUUAAUAGUUUUUCACAUUCCAAAGUGCUUACAUUUGCUCCUUGGUUAUAAUCCUCAAUUUGGAGUUUGGCUCCCUGCUUUGUCACAGAUUCCCACAGGCCUUACAAUAAUGGUUAACAUUUGCAUAGCACUUUUUAGAGCCUCUUUCAAUCAUUAAUUAAUUCAUUCAUAAGAUGUCUUUUCACGAUUUUCAUUUGAUGCAUUCAUAAGCAAAAUGGGCCAAGCAGAGGUUAAAUGACUGGGCCAGGGCCACCUGGGGAUUUGGUUAAGUCCUUUCAUUCAUUUUUGGGAAUUCCCAGGAAGAAAGAGACAUUUUAAUUCCAGGGAGCAGCAAAAUCUGCAACUUCAGUAUGACCCUAUCAGGUCAGCAAAUGAACUUGGACAAUCUGAGGAGCUAGUUGUUCUGGGGGGAGUGUUAGAUUUUCAAGUAGAAAUGAGAUUGCUGUGACUUCUUAGGGACAUGGUGACCUCCCUGAUCCACACAGGCUCAGGCCAAGCCUUGGAACAGAGCUGAGGUGUCCAAACUUCUCUUGGUGAGAAGCUACUUCUUGAAAUCUAAGAAGUAUUACCCAGGAAGGAACUGGGAUGCUGAUGGUACAGAAGAAGACAGGACAAAAAAGGCUUUGGGGAGUUCCCAUCCUGGCACAGUGGUUAACGAAUCCGACUACCAACCAUGAGGUUGAGGGUUCGAUCCCUGCCCUUGCUCAGUGGGUUAAGGAUCCAGCAUUGCCAUGAGCUGGGGUGUAGGUUGCAGAUACGGCUCGGAUCCUGCGUUGCUGUGGCUCUGGUAUAGGCCAGUGGCUACAGCUCCGAUUAGACCCCUAGCCUGGGAACCUCCAUAUGCCACAGGAGCGGCCCAAGAAAUGGCAAAAAGACAAAAAAUAAAAUAAAAAAAAAAUAAAAAUAAAUAAAUAAACAAUCCAAUUGAAAAAUGGGCAAAAGACAUGAAUAGACAUUUCUCCAAAGAAGACAUAUAGACAGCCAACAGGUUCAUUAAAGAAAAAAAAAAAAAAAAAAAAAAGGCUUUGGGUCUUGGUCUUCUCCCCAGGAGACCUUUCCAAAGAAGUGGGUGGAAGCUGACGUGCAGAGCAAGAAGUAAAGGUUUAAAAUUGAUCAUAUGCAUUUUACCUCUUCAAGAGCCCAAUGGGGAAGAUAGGGAUGAAGAAACACAGGCUAGGAAGGCUCUCUGAACUUCUCACCAAAUGCAUAGGAAAAUCAUGCUUUCCCUCUCCUUCAUGCUUGGGACCUGCCUCUGGUACACCACAGGGCUUCGGUGAGGAGCUGCUUAAUUGGCUGUUACCCUGAGCUCAGAAUACAUCUGAGCUGGGAAGAAAAGUUACUGCUCUGGAAGACAAACAAAGAAAAGAUGGAAAAGAGAGGUCUGGGGUGAGGAGGUGUGUCUAUGCCGGGGAAGUGAAUAGGAGAGGAGAAGCAAGCUCCUAGACAGUAAUAACCACUUCUGAGAUAGUCACUAGGUGGCCUUUAUCCAAGUGUCCUGAAAAUACUAAUUGGGACGUUGUCUUGGUUUCCUGGAGCCUGCUCUAACAAAUGACCACCAACAUGUGGCUGAAAACAACAGACAUUUAUUCUUUUCUGGUGCAGGAGACAAGCAAUGCCAAAUCAAGGUGUAGACAGGCGGGGAGGGAAGAUGGGUUCCCAGGCUCUCUAUGGGCAUCUGGUGGCUGCUGGCAGCCUCUGUGGCUUGCUGAUACCUCAGUCAGCUCGGCGUCCAUCUUCUCCUGCUGGCUUCCCUGUGUCUCCGUGCCUGUGUGUCUCAAUCUCCUGUUCUUUCUCUCAUAAGUACUCUAGUCAUUAGAUUUAGGGCCCACCCUAAGUCCAGGAUGAACUUAUCUCUCCUUCAUCACAUCUUGCAAAGAUUCUAUUUCCAAGUAAGUUUCCUUUCGCAGGCACAGGGGCUUAGGACUUGGUUGUGACUUUUGGGGAAACACCAUUCAACUCACUAAGGAAGUCAUUCUUCAAAUGUUGCAUCCAACCUCUAGACACACCUGGGUCUCUCCAGUGAAUCCGGGCAGACUGACAAUGAGAUUUUUCUGGGGGUGGAGUUGACAAAUGCUUCCUUCUGCUUUUCUCCUUCAUGGUCCUAUCCAGCUAGCUCUACCAUCCACUAGUUGGAGGAAUUGCUUGGAAGCCCCCAAGAAUCCUCGCUGCACACGGUACGCACAAGGGAAGGAGCUACCAUUUCAUUCUGUGCACAACAGCAGGCAGACACCUGCUCUUCCUCUUGGCUCUGCCUCAGACCUUAGCUGGUCCAUCGGGGCGGGGGGGGGGGAAGAUCUCCAAUUCCUGGAUAUCUGGGCCUUGUGGGUAGAAGGGCAUUCUUUCUUUGGCCAUGGUAAUGCAUAGGACACCAAUCUGGGAUCCCUGGAAAUGUCUUUUUACUCUCUUGAUCCUCUUGUUUCUUCUCCACAUCUCCUCAAUCUGCUCUUUAGGGAUUUGCACACUCCUCCCAGCUAGUUAGUAACUAUAUGCCUCAUCCUGAGAUUUUCCUUCUCUCAUGCCUUCCAUCGAAUCAGUCCCUGGGUGGUAUUGAUUCCCCAACUUUCUAUUUCCUAAGACAUCCCCUCCUUUGCAUCAGCCAUCUCUCUCAGGCCCCCAUCACUGUCUUGUGAACUGUUGGCAUCAGCUGUUUGCAUGGUUGGUCUGCUUCCAGCCAAUCCUUCCUUCCAGUGCACCUGCUACUCUACUGCAAUACUAAUGCUUCUGCCAGUGGCUUCCUUGGCCAGAUUAAUCCCUCAGCUCUUUAACAGGCCACAGAAUCUUUAUGACAAACCCAGUUGGAGUGCUGAAUCUGCUGUCUGUGAAGCAGACAUGCCUUCUUCUAAAAGGACCUCUGGGUGCCCCAAUUCUGAGGUGGGUGUUCUAGUACACAGCAGACAACACCUCCACACAGCCCAGCACUUAGCAAAACUAUACAUCCUCCUGCUGCUAAAUAAUCAGCAAUACCCAAGAAACUUCACUUUUUAAAUAUAGGGCAUGGAUAUUUUGUGAUCUGUUUGGCUUUAAAAAAAACUUACCUUCUUCCUUUUCCUCCUGAAAUCACUCUCCCAGAGCCUACUGUGUAUGCUGGAUUGUGUUUCUUGCUUGGCCGUAGAGAUCUUUUCCACCUAGUGGUCAAUCAUUGGUCCCUUGACCUUUGCUUAUUGAAAAAUUUACCGCUAAAGCCUUAUAUUUCUCCCAUUUCCCACAAGAGGUGUCCUACCACUUCAGAAUUGUUUGGAAGGAGUUCCUGUUGUGGCUCAGCAGGUUAAGAACCCAGCUAGUAUCCAUGAGGAUGUGGGUUUGAUCAGUGCGUUAAGGAUCCGGCCUUGCUGUGAGCUGCGGUGUAGGUCACACUUGCAGCUUCAAUCUGGUGUUGCUGUGGCUGUGGUGUAGGGCGGCAGCUGUAGCUCCAAUUGGAUCCCUAACCUGGGAACUUCCAUAUGCUGUGGGUGAGGACCUAAAAAGAAAAAACAUUUUUUAAAUUGUUUGGAGUUCCCUGAGCACUCAUGCUUUCAUUCCUCUGUGUCUUUGCCCAUGCUGUUCCUUCUUCUGGAAAUACCAGGUGCCCUGUGCAUCCUGGAGGCUCCUUCAAGCAUAGGGGUUAGGUCUUCUGCCUCCUCCCAGGCAGGCCAAGGACCCCCUCACUUGGCAUUCUCACAGCAGUCUAGAAAACACUGAGAACAGAACCUAGUACAUUCAUCCAACCUCAGAGUGGAAGUUUUGAAACUAUGUGUCGAUAUCCUAUUAGUAGGUGGUGAGAUGAAUUUUUAAAACGCAAUAGUAGGGUUUGGUUGUGAUGAUUGUUAUACACCUGUAAAUGUAAUAAAAUUCAUUAAGUAAAAAAUAAAAAUAAAAAUAAAAUGCAAUAGAA
ensembl:lncRNA